GACGAACGCUGGCGGCGUGCUUAACACAUGCAAGUCGAACGGUAAGGCCCUUCGGGGUACACGAGUGGCGAACGGGUGAGUAACACGUGGGUGAUCUGCCCUGCACUUCGGGAUAAGCCUGGGAAACUGGGUCUAAUACCGGAUAGGACCACUGCCUGCAUGGGUGGUGGUGGAAAGCUUUUGCGGUGUGGGAUGGGCCCGCGGCCUAUCAGCUUGUUGGUGGGGUGAUGGCCUACCAAGGGGACGACGGGUAGCCGGCCUGAGAGGGUGACCGGCCACACGGGGACUGGGAUACGGCCCAGACUCCUACGGGAGGCAGCAGUGGGGAAUAUUGCACAAUGGGCGCAAGCCUGAUGCAGCGACGCUGCGUGAGGGAUGACGGCCUUCGGGUUGUAAACCUCUUUCAGCACCGACGAAGCGCAAGUGACGGUAGGUGCAGAAGAAGGACCGGCCAACUACGUGCCAGCCGCCGCCGUAA
rnacentral:rRNA from 1 species